UAGACAAUAAACAUUUAUUGAUCUUUGGCUUUAGGAAUCAUCCUAUUUUGGAUAUGGGAAAUACUAUAUAAAAUAAUGGAAGAUUGUUUCAGGUUUUUUUAAACCUACAUACUGUAAAACAGUCUAUUAUUUUACAGUGCACAAAUGCAAGGCAUGCAGAGUACAUGUUGGGACACUGAAGUACUAUAGAAGCAUCCCUGCAGUAGACAUCAAAUGUCUGACAUGGAUCAACACUUUACAAAAGCAAGCAAGUUGGUGGGGCAGUUGAUACACAGCAGAUACCAGGGUUUCUCUUCAACUUGCUGUGGUAUUACCAUUAGCAACUAGUGGAUAUAAAAUUAAUUUUAGCAGUAAGUACAUUAUAAAAACAAUGUUAAAUGAUAACAUUUCAACAGAAUGAAUGGGGAAAAAGAAAGUAUAAUCUUGUUUCACUGUGCAAAAUUUACUGAUGUUAGAGGGAUUUAGGUGUUUAGAUGACAAACCAAUUCUUACUAUUUUCACAUUAAUAAAAUGCUGCCUGAUACAUGGUAACAUUAAGCAAGACAGAACCAGCUUCUUAAAUGCUCUACAGUAAAACAAGCAAUAUAAUUUCUUACAAAUAGUGUAAGGAAAUGUUUAGUAAGCUUACUGGAGCAAGUUUUCCCCAAACUGUGUACUACAUACAGUACGGAUUGCUACAGCCACUUUUUAGAGCUGAAAGCUCAAGUGCUUUUGUAAGCCUUCCUCAGAGGAAGGCUUCCUUUGGUAGAAUUGAACCAGCAACACCACCUCCACUUACAAGCACUUCAUGUUUAGGAUGCAUAAUUAAUUCAGCAGUAGGCACCUGCUAUUUCCUCAAUGUUUUAAUUUCCCUGCUGAACCAGACCAGGCAGGUUCCACCUCCAGCACUUGCUGCCCUUGGAAGCAGCUGAAGAGUAAGGAAGGGUGGUUUCACUGUUCCAACACCCCAGCAGUGGGUGUUGAGUACAAGGUGUUAACUUUUCCCUUGAAGCCUCUUUGCUUGAUGCAAGCCAGCAGUGUUACAAUCCAGCUCUUCUGUGGUCUUUGUACCCCAAAUCCAUACUGAUGCAGUGAACUUCAGUGCAUCUGAGCUCAAGAAGAACCACUUACCUGGCUGAAGUCACCCAUGUGCCUGCACAACUGGGGCACAACUGACACCCAGGGUGUCACUACAAAACCUUGUUAAGCAACAGUCAGGCCUUCCAGAACUCUUUAAGUCCUCUCUCUCAGUCAUAUAAAAACAAAGGCUGGAGCACCUCCCCUAUGAAGAGAGGCUGAGAGAGUUGGGCU
rnacentral:lncRNA from 1 species